CAAAACCUGGCAAGGUUAUUCACAGUAAUCAUUGGAGAUAACUGCUUGGACCAUGAAUAUCACCUGCUCCUCUGAUGGGGGAUAUUUACCAGGGGGGAGAGAUCCUGCACUUUUACAAGUCAGACUGGCUCAUCAUGGUGGUAAACAGCAAGCAGGGACGUCACUGUCAGAGGUGACAUCAUGUUUUUGUCCACUGAAUUUCAGUUUCUUUUCUUGAUAUAUUGUACUGUGUUACAUUUCUUGUAAUUUUAACUGUGACUGAAAAAAUGAGAUUGAGGAGAUAAACAGAAAGGAGCUGCCUCAUCAUCAGGCAGGUAAAGGUGAGGAACUCCCUAAUUUGGAAGGGAUUUCCAAAUUAGAGCUCAUUCACACCCAACAGAGCCAGCUGAGGUGAUUGAACCAAAAAGCCUAGUAGGUGAAGUGUUUUGGGCACAUCAUAGGACGAGGAGGAGGUGAGGAGACCACAGAGCACAUCCAGGACAUGCUGGAGAGAUUACAUAUCUGAUUGUCUGUUCAUGUGUGUUACGUUUUAUUGGUGUUAGAAUAACAUAAAUAAUAUUUAUUCAACAUUACUGACAAACUAAUAAAAGGAUUAUGAACAACCUUUUAAGUAAUAAUAUCAAAAUUUAAUUCAUGUAUAUAGUUCAUGUAUGUUAAACAUGUCGAUAUACGUUUUUAGGUCUGUUACAUUGCACCAUGAUGUGAAUUUGAUUAAAAGUGGUUGUUUAAAAAAUUUGAUGAGUAGUGAAAUAAAAUACAGAAUAGCUGGAGAGUAACACAACAAUGUAGUUUGUUGCAGGAACUUGCGCAUGCGCAAUUUGUAAAACAGAGAGAGAGUUGAGUACUUUCCGAUGGCGGUGACAUCAUCUUCACCCACUGAUGUCACAUAGCCCGAGACUUUCACUAUUUAUUUCACUUGGAUUAAAUGUGCUAGCGCAUCACUUUUCCUGUCUUUUACUGUGGAUAAUUGAAUCUUCCGCAGGAAAUUCCCUUAAUUUAGAUGAAUUAUAGUUUGGUAAUAGAAACGUCUGUUGACCCACUCAUGGAAAUUCAAGUGACUUUUUGCGUGGCAGUUCUGCUCUUCAAGGUCCUUCACUGUGGUAAAUAUUUUCUAAUUUAAUAAUGUAGACUACUUAUCUGUAUCGAUCACGCUAUUCAUUAAAAUGCAUUUCAAAUUGGAAGUACAAAAACAACCAAAACAGGUUUUUUCAAGUCUGGGUUCCGAGCAUACUCAUUGUUCAUGUUGUUUGUUUGUUUGUUUCUAAAUGGGAUUUGAAGCGGGUCUUAUGCUCAUGUAGCGGGUUGGAUUGGUUCCUGCAUAGUGAACUAAUGACUGUAUUGCUCUGAACGCAGCAUGAACAUUCACCCCUCCCCUAGCUGUCUAAUCAGACUCCUGGUAUUUGGCACUCAUCCCUAUGAUAGAUGGCGACGAUCAUGACCUUAGCAUUGCAGAUCGGAUUCAUGCCCCCUGACCAAUGUUUGGCUGUGUAACUGUUAACGAGUGCUUCAGUGCACCGGAUGGUAAUAUUUUAAAGAGAGACGGCCGCUUGUGAGCGUAAACACCGGGAUGCGAGCACAUUUUAAAGCACAGUUUAAGUUGCGUUGCGAAUUGCAGUGUGACGUCACGGAUGGCCAACAAAGACAGGAGUGUUUGGAAAGAUGUGCCACUUCUGGCAGCGAUGCAGAGCUUCGAUUUCCCCAGGCUCUUAGAUGCAGUGACGUCGAUAACUGGAGAUUGGAGGGAAACUCUGUUGACGUCUACUUUUGUCGCUUUGGACAUGAGGGAUUCCCUUAUGAAUCUGGGAGAAAGAACAUUGAGUAUAAUGAAGCAGAUGGUUCAUUCACACUCUUCGGGUUGCAGCAGUUUGAUGAGGGACUGUAUGAAAUAUGGCAUGGCCAUUACAGGAGCAUGUGUGUUGAACUUGUUGUGAGACCAGAAGAAAACAGCUGCAAAGAAGCACUAGGUGGUCAAAAUGGUGACUGGACUGUACCUUCAGACUCAGCCGACAGUGGACCAGCAGAGCAGAAUGACAAUAUGGAAAUGAAUGAAAGUCCUACAGUAGCAGAAAGUGAUGGGAACAAUACUCAAGAUACUACUGACGCUCUGAUGGAAAAACACUGUGCAGAGUCAAAACCAUGCCUCGUAACUGAAAUCUCAUCUCCUCCUAGCUCCUCUGGUGCCAAACUAAUGUCCACAAAGUCUUAAGAAUUUUAAAAAAAUUAGUUUGUGGACAGAACAGUUUUAAUCAGGAUUCAAAUGAGGUUGUUGAAAUUAACUCCUUUAUUUUAAUUUUAGUUAACUACAUCAAAAUCAAGACUAAAACUGAUGUUUUAUCUCAGCAUUUUCAAACAAUAAAAAUAAAACAUAACUAAAUAAACUCACAAUGGAAAUUAAUUAAAUCUAAACUGAUUUGAAAACAAAAAUUAAAGCUAAACAAUCGAGAAGUGUUUGUUACUGCGAAUGCAAUCAAAGACUUGAAAGGUGAAAAGUGAAAGAUUCAGGUGCGUCUUUGACAUGGUCAUGAUGAAGUUCAAGCAUUGAGGAGGACAGCUGAUUUAUGUGAACUUGAAUGCGUUGUGGUUGUUGUGCCAGAAAGAGUGAUCUACUGGGAUUUUUCACCCACAUCCACAGGGUUUACAAAGAAAAAGAGAGGGGUAGUUCUCUGGGUGAAACUGUUGAUUUUAGAUGUCAAGCCUAACUUGAGCUGAUAAAGGAGUAAACAGUAACUCAAACAACCACUAAUUACAGCAUUUAGUACCAGCUGUAUCUCAUUUAAACAGCACAGCCUACCUGAGUAUUUUUACUGACCUUGUUCAUCCCAUCAUGACCAUAGUUUACCCAAUUUUUCAUUGCUGCUGCCAGUAGGGUAACACACCAUGUCACUAGGUUCAGAUCAUCUCAAACUUGUUUCUUGAAUAUCACAGUGCAUUCACUGUUUUCACAUGGCCUCCACAGUCAUCAGAUUGAAUGUCUUUCUGAUGUGCUUGAAUGGGUUUUAUAGGUCAACAAAUCUUCAGCAACUUUGUGAAUACCAAAAUCUCUGAGCAAUGUUCCCAGAACCUUGUUGAAUCUAAGCCACAAAGAAUUAAACAGCUCUGACGGCAGAAGUGCAUUCAAGUUGGUACCACCAAGCUGUACGUAAUAAACGUGGCUGGGGAGUGUUUAAGUCUAAAAACUCAGUGAAACUCUAAUUGGUGUUCUUGGUGGCUAUAACCUCAAUCUCAGAUUUGAUUUCUUUUAUCUAUCUUUUUUUUCCUACUUAACACUGAUAAGCUCUAUUUACCAAGCUGUGGCCAAAGGAUCAUAUAAAUUAGUUUAGCCAUAUAGCCACAGGUUUUAUCCAAGCUGAUUCAGGAGAUGAUUCAUGAAAGCCACAAGGUGGUGCUACAGGAAAGCUUCUAAAGCUUGCUGUGUUUCUGUUGUAUUACUGAACACUAAAGCUUUACAUGUUUGGGUGCUACCAAAUGUAACACUGUGAAUGCAACAUUUUAGUGUAUAUAUUGUUUUAUUUGGCUGUUUUGUUUCUCAUUUUGAAUAAUUAAUACCCAGUUGUAUUGAAGUCUAGAUUUGUUUAAACUGUAUGAAGUUAACUAAGCAUACAUACAGUGUUAUGCUUGCCUCUUCAAACGACAAACUCACGCAAUUUUGUUUUCUCACACGGAGUGCUGUUUAAACCAUCUGGCUGUUCCUGUAGCCUUAUGAUCCUUGCUUUCUAUAUGUUGGGUUUUUUGAUGACUAAUAUAAAAUCCUGUUAUGUAUGCUGUAUUGGUUAUCUUUCUGACAGUUGUCUGCUGUAUGCAUGUCUGUGAAUGCAUGUGUAUAUUUCAGUUACUUUCUACUCUUCCUUUCAGGCAGAGACAGAAAAUGUCCAUCAAACUGUAGCUCACCGUUAUAGCAAUCAAUUGAUUUAUCAAUUACGUGUAUUUUGUUUUAAAAAGCCUCCAAGGAUAUUUCAUUAUCAGGUAAACAUGCAAUGCACACUCCCAAAACAAAGAGCAAUCAUUUAAAAUUUAAGAAUUUUAUUUCAUAAAUGCCACUAUUGUAUAUCUACAUUUAAAUUAUUUUCCUGUUUCAUUGCAUUUACCAUGGCAAGCCUUUUAAAAACCACAAUUCAAAACUAAAACUGAUAACUGGAUGUUAGAAUGUAGUAAUUAGCUUAACAGGUGUGGGUAUUUGUUACUUCUAGACCCAGUUUAAUCCAUUUCUGUCUAAAGGCUGUGUGGAAAACUGCUUACUGUGUAUUUAGAACAUGUAGAAAAACAUAUUUAAUAGUUGCACCCAGGAUUCAGUUUGUUUACUAAAGUACAAUUGUAAUUUAAUAAAGUGCGAUUGUACCUUAUUGAGGGAAAAGAGUUAAUCUACUUGCUUCUUUCAAAUCUAGGGUGCACAGUAUAUCAACAACAUAAUGAAUCUGCAGUACCUGCUUCCAAUGGACUAGCAACAUAAAGAUGUUCAGAUCAACUUAUUUUAAUCUACAUUGAACCGUAAAUACACAAAUGUUUACAGUUACACACUUUAUAGCAGGAUAGUUUAAUUUAUUUUUUUAAUUUCAGUUUUCUUUGACCUUGAAGUAUUGCAUAUUGCAUGGUGUAUUGUCUUUUUUCAUGACCAGAGCAGAAACGACUGAAAUCUUUGUCUGCAAUUUGUGAAAUUUUAAGAUUUAUUAAUGGAAUGUGCUCUGUUCAGUGGGCAUUGUAUCUGAUAAAAUAAAAUGUUUUGUA